AGUGAACGCUGGCGGUAGGCCUAACACAUGCAAGUCGAACGGCAGCACAGAGGAGCUUGCUCCUUGGGUGGCGAGUGGCGGACGGGUGAGGAAUACAUCAGAAUCUACUCUGUCGUGGGGGAUAACGUAGGGAAACUUACGCUAAUACCGCAUACGACCUACGGGUGAAAGCAGGGGAUCUUCGGACCUUGCGCGAUUGAAUGAGCCGAUGUCGGAUUAGCUAGUUGGCGGGGUAAAGGCACACCUAGGCGGCGAUCCGUAGCUGGUCUGAGAGGAUGAUCAGCCACACUGGAACUGAGACACGGUCCAGACUCCUACGGGAGGCAGCAGUGGGGAAUAUUGGACAAUGGGCGCAAGCCUGAUCCAGCCAUACCGCGUGGGUGAAGAAGGCCUUCGGGUUGUAAAGCCCUUUUGUUGGGAAAGAAAUCCAGCUGGCUAAUACCCGGUUGGGAUGACGGUACCCAAAGAAUAAGCACCGGCUAACUUCGUGCCAGCAGCCGCGGUAA
rnacentral:rRNA from 1 species